GUGGGGAAUAUUGGACAAUGGGCGAAAGCCUGAUCCAGCCAUGCCGCGUGUGUGAAGAAGGUCUUCGGAUUGUAAAGCACUUUAAGUUGGGAGGAAGGGUAGUAACCUAAUACGUUGCUACUUUGACGUUACCGACAGAAUAAGCACCGGCUAACUUCGUGCCAGCAGCCGCGGUAAUACGAAGGGUGCAAGCGUUAAUCGGAAUUACUGGGCGUAAAGCGCGCGUAGGUGGUUCAGUAAGUUGGAAGUGAAAUCCCCGGGCUCAACCUGGGAACUGCUUUCAAAACUGCUGGGCUAGAGUACGGUAGAGGGUGGUGGAAUUUCCUGUGUAGCGGUGAAAUGCGUAGAUAUAGGAAGGAACACCAGUGGCGAAGGCGACCACCUGGACUGAUACUGACACUGAGGUGCGAAAGCGUGGGGAGCAAACAGGAUUAGAAACCCGUGUAGUCC
rnacentral:rRNA from 1 species